UAUAAUAUCAGAUGCGUUCCAAAGACAGCAGGUGAGAGGAACCUCUCGUAAGUCCUGCCGAGGGCGGCAAAUGUGAUUUGCUAUCCGUCCUUGUGUCUUUGCGGCACAAGGACGGUUUCCUUUUUGAACG
rfam:Oscillibacter sp. CAG:155 genomic scaffold, scf57